UUUUAGCACCUCCCGGGCUAUUUUUGUCGUGGCAGAAACACAACAGGAGUGCAAGGCCAGAGAAAGGGCAAGGAACGGCUCGGAAUGUGGGACAGAGAGAGAGAAAAUAAAUCCCUGGCGUGGGAAUGGCUGAGACCUGUCCCGCCCAGGCUGUGUCCGUGGUUUGUUCCUCAGCUGGGCAGGACAAAGGGACACAAAUGCCACCGAACAGCCCUGUCCCGUGUGCAGUGGGGGACACAGGAGGGGACAGUCACCACAUCCCGGCUUUUCCUCGCUGCCUGGCCGGGAACAGCAGCGGGGAAGAUCCAGGUGCAGGGGGGACAUUCCCGGAGCCGGAGGGGACAGGCCAGCCCUGGCUCCGCAGCAUCCUCGCCCGUUGCCAGGACAACGGGAUGUGAUGGAGCCACCUCCAUCAGGGCCGGCUCCGGGAUGUCGGGAUGUGGGGGCAGCGGCACGCGGCAGCUUUGGGGUGCUGGGGGAGCCCCCCGGUCUCGGUCCAUACGAGAACCCCCAAGAGCCACCUGCACGCAGCGGGCACGGACAGGGAUGUGGCACAGCGGGAAAAGCGGGAUGGAACCCGCUGGGACAAGCCCGGAUCCGGGUGGGUCAGACAUGGCACAGCACAGCCCGGGGCCCGACUGCCACAUCCCGGUGCCUCUGCCCCUCCACCGACACAGGGCACGGCCCCGGGGCUACCGGAGGGUCCCCUGUGCCCCACGGCCUCCCAGCGCCUCGGGCACAGGGGCUGGCAACGCCCCGAGGCUCCGGAGCAACCAGAAAGCUUUUAGGGCAGCCGAUUGCUUUUUAUGGAGCCGGAGGAGCUUGGGGAGCCGCACAUAAAACACAAGCAGAGCUGUGAAUUCCCAGGAAAUCAGCCCCCAGGAAGAGUUCUGCCCACUGUGGGGGCACUGGGACACAAAGAGUGACCCCAUGGAUGGGAGAAAAUGAGUUAUUUUUCCAUGAAUAAAGCAAAUAUUUCUCUUCUCCAGAUAAAAGUGUUUAUC